rnacentral:rRNA from 1 species
UGGGGAAUUUUGGACAAUGGGCGCAAGCCUGAUCCAGCCAUGCCGCGUGCGGGAAGAAGGCCUUCGGGUUGUAAACCGCUUUUGUCAGGGAAGAAAUCUUCUGAGUUAAUACCUCGGGAGGAUGACGGUACCUGAAGAAUAAGCACCGGCUAACUACGUGCCAGCAGCCGCGGUAAUACGUAGGGUGCAAGCGUUAAUCGGAAUUACUGGGCGUAAAGCGUGCGCAGGCGGUUUUGUAAGACAGAGGUGAAAUCCCCGGGCUCAACCUGGGAACUGCCUUUGUGACUGCAAGGCUUGAGUGCGGCAGAGGGGGAUGGAAUUCCGCGUGUAGCAGUGAAAUGCGUAGAUAUGCGGAGGAACACCGAUGGCGAAGGCAAUCCCCUGGGCCUGCACUGACGCUCAUGCACGAAAAGCGUGGGGAGCAAAACAGGAUUAGAUAGCCCUGGUAGUCCACGCCCUAAAACGAUGCCAACUGGUUGUUGGGAAGGUUCCUUCUCAGUAACGUAGCUAACGCGUGAAGUUUGACCGCCUGGGGAGUACGGCCGC